rnacentral:lncRNA from 1 species
UUAUUGAACCUGUUGUCAUGAAACAUACAACCAUACUUCUCUCUCUCUCACGCAUAUACACACGUGCGCAUGCACAUUACAUCCAUCAUAUUUGUAGGUUCAUUAAAUAUAGGUUUUAUUGUAAUAACUGUUUAUGGUUGGAUAGUGUUCUGAUCAUUAAUCACUGAACAAAUUCUAGUUCAGUUUCAUAAUUAUUUCCCUGGUAUUCAGAGACAGACUGGAGACAGACUGGGGACAAACUGUGUUUCUUGUGGCACAAUGACCAAUUAAGUAAACAGUAAUGUAGUUUGAACUCAUGCACAUAUAGUUCAGUAGCGAAAACCAUUGUAUUUUAAAACUGAAUUUUCUUUUUAUUUUCCUUUCAGUUCCCAUCAUGAUGGAGCGGUUCAAUUAAGUCUGGUUGAAUAAGAAGACUAAAGAAACAUUUCUAGAAGAGACAGUUCGAAGACCUUAGAACAAAAUGAACUAGACCUGCUGUUUGGUGCAGACCACAGUUAUGUCUUCAUGUGUUCAGCACCAAUCCAAAGUAUGGAAGGUGUGCAGUUUUCUGGAAUACGGUUGUAUCAUCAUAGCUUCUGUACUCCAACAAUGGAUGGUUUGGUGCAGUGUUGUGGGUUACAGUUUUCAUUCAUUAGAAGUCAUUCCAAGCAUUAAAAAUACCUGUUAAUUAUGACUUGGUGUUUAUAUUUAUUCAUAAUUAAAAAUUUUUUUUUAAUGGUUUUUAGCCAGAGAUGGUGGGAGAACAACUUAUGACCUCUCCUCUCCUUCAAAGUAGAAGGAAGGGAUAAUAAAGUUCUACUCAAACUAGAGACCGGACCCAAAUGUUUGCAACAGGAUGGACUCUGCUAAAAGCAUCAAAGGACCAGGUGCUGGUGGUUUAACUGGCUGGUGAGUUUUUACUACAGAAUAUCAGCCUUCACUGUUCAUAUCUAUACUGUUGAUAUCAACUUGCAGCAAUUUAAGCAGAAGUUUAAUGGCUCAACCACAUUGGUUUUGAAGAAUCUGUGAAGGCUGUAGGCACUGAUUUUUUCCUUCAGACCUGCCAAGUUUAAAAAAAAAAUAAUGCCCUGUCAUCAUAUGUGACCACUUCAAAGAAAGUGAUUUCAUCGGCAUCCCUUGUCAACCGCAAAAGUUCACACCACAGCUACCUCCUAUCCUUAGCACACUUUCUUGUCCCCACUCUCUCUUCAGCAAUGCACUACACUGUUUCCAAAAGAAUAAGUAGCUCAUCAUACACUGCUGACUAUCGACAUAUUGAUCUCACUUCCAAGAUGAGGAAAAUAGUUGUCAGCAGUCAUUUUCCUUGCAUUAUCUCUGACCUCUUGUCAGUGACCAGCACUAUAGCUCCUGUAGAACUAGAUCUAUCAGCAUCAUCCUGUGUCAUUAACCCCUGGUCUCUCUCCUAUUUAUGAACUUUGGAAAAUAAAGUGUUCUACUUGAUUAGUAUUAAUCUUUGCCUGUAUCUGAUAUGAGAAUUUGCUACCUAAAUUAUACCCCUGUCUCUCAUUUCUUAGAUUGGAAGUUUUCUGCUAGACAUUGCAGUGUGUGCUGCCAGGGAUAUCUCUAGCAGUUAUGGGCCACUCCAAUGCCUGUAUUAACCUUUUAACAUUCAAUUCAGCCAAAAUAUUCUACUCAUUUUAUGUUCAAACAGGCCAAAUCUGGCCUUUUAUACCUACCCUACAAUGUCAUUCUAAAAAUAAACAAUCACAUCACUGAAAUCUCAAAGCCACAAGAUAAUGCAUGGCUAAUUGAUUAAUUCAAAACAAUGUGAAUAAAUAAGCAUUGUGUUUAUCAGAAUAAUCUGAAUGCUAAAGGCUUAAACCUUCAUAACACAAGU